ACCACUGAGCCAUCUUUCCAGCCCGACUUUAAGACUUUUAAGAUGGUGUCUACUGCUUAAAUUUUCAAAUGGCUCAACUUUAAACACACACACACACACACACACACACACACACACACACACACACACUUUAGACAAACUGAAUGUGAAUUUGAAUGAGUAAAGAAGGAUUUGUAAGUUGGGCAGUGGCCAGAACCAAAACCGUCCAGGGAACUCUGCCCCACAGGACCGGGCAGGAAAACAGUUACAGACAGCAAAAGAAGGCCAGGAACACUCCAUUGCCUGGAGCUUGGCAGUGCCCUGUGGGCAUGGCCUGAUCAGCCGAUAGCUCGUAACUGGCUGAAACUUAGCUGGUGUGGUUGGCUGAGACCAAUCUGUUUGUUACUAAAUAUACUCCAGAGUUUGACCUUCGAGGAUGUUUACCUGCUAAACUGGGUCGUUGCCCUUUGGGCAGGGCUUCAGCUAAUAGAAACAAACUCGGUGCAGGGGCAGUUUCGUUUAGUGAUUCUGAUUUACAGGUUGUUAAAUCAUGAUUCAGUCUAGGCUCAUUAGCCACCAGCCAAUGGGUCCUCCUUUCUUAUUACAUUUGCAUAAUUUGUUUGCUACACUUAAAAACGUUACAUAUUUAUUCACGAAACAUCGGGUUCAGAUGUGUGUUUUAAGCCACAAGAAGACAGCGUCGUCCCAUGCCUUAGAGCAGAACAUCCAGUCCUUUGCCUGCGUUGCUCAGGAUUGGCGGAGUAGCAGUGGUAAAUGGUGAAGCAGUCACAGAAGGUCCCCAAGCCCCAGCCUCGGAAGGUAGCUAGGUAAGAGCGCAUUGGUAUAUAAAACUGUUCACGGUAAGUUUACAGAGCUGGAUAGCUUCCAGCAAGACGAUAAUGCUGAUGGCAGUGCCAAGUGCCAUCAGGGUCAUCUCAAGACCCUGUGUGAGGCAGGGUGUCACCUGGCUGUGCAUCUUGGCCUAGCAUAGUCCUGGUUACAAACGUCUGCCUCCCUAGACAAGUAGCUGUGGACACUGUGCUUAUGUGUUUACAGAUUUCCCUGGUACUUCUCGUUAUGGAUACAAUCCAAACCACAUACUACUUAGCAAAUAUAAUUAAAUAAGGACCAGCUGCACCGCGUAACCACUGAAAAGUCACCACCAUUCUGAAAAGGAAGGGAUCUUUAGUUCUAAGUCAAAGCAGUUCUAGAGCAAGCAAGGAGAGCUGGGUAUUUAGUGAAUGUGUAAGAGGUACAUGCAGCCUUCAGUACAGGAAGUGAACCCUGUCACCGUGAGGUAACGUCCCUUUUCUCCAUUUCUCGGAGAAAUCCAGGCUUUCUCUGGAUCAGGCCUUCUCGUGCGUGGGCAACAGCCGUUACUUACGGGGCCGUAGGAUUGCAAGUGCCUUCCUCACACCAAAGGAGAGGACAUCUGCAGCCCAGCUCUUCCCGAGACCGGAGUUUGAGUCCCAGCACAAACAUGGUGGCUCGGAACCAUCUGUAAUUCCAGUUCCAGAGGGUCCGACACCCACUUCUUCAUGAGCAGCAAGCGUGUAGUCUGCACUGAGUUACAGGUAAGCAAAACACCCAUACGCAUACAUACAAUCUAAAGAGGGCUAGCCUUCAAAUAUUCUCCCACAAAAGGUAAGUAGGUGAGAUGGUGAUGGGCACAUUAAUUACCAUGAUCUAAUCAUUACGACAGGCCACCACACAGUUAAACAUCCUACCUCAUAUGAUGGUCCAGUGGUUACUCCCAGCUCUCCGUGAGCCUGUUACAGCAUCCACGGAAUCCUUUUCCUCCACACGACGUCUACAAAGCUGUUGGUAUACCAUUGUGCCCACCUAGGGUUCUUUUAAACGUGCGCAGCUGCUGCUGUUAGGGUUAGCUUUAUUAGUCUGCCAUCACUCACGGGUUUCAACAAAACCUGACAUCAAGCUGUCAGAGUUCUUAUUUUUACUUUUUUCCUGACACAGGGUCUUAUUCCAUAUCCCAGGAUAGCUUAGAACUCAUCACGUAGCUCAGGAGAACUAAGAGUAGUUCUCCUGCCUCUGCCUUAUGGGUCCUGGGAUCGUAAGCCAUGAGUACCACCCACUGACAUUUGUCUCAGUGAGGCACCUUUCUGAGACUCCUACAACAUCUGGAAACUCAUCCACAGGUUUCAUCCCAGUCCCUAUAGUAUUUUCCACUAUAGAUAACAUUCCGUUUGGCCUCCAACCAACAGAAGUGUUGUUCUCAGGUAAAUGCCAGUCAUCGGGCUGCCUCCCACUCCACCGCCCAACAUUGUUUCCAACGAAAUUGGAAAUAAGGGGUUUCAGGAGCCCGUGGUGGAAAUUCAGAUUCAGUAGGUGUUGCUGCUUCCCAACCAGGCUGACGUAAUGAGCGCUCUCCGAGAAUGCUGGCCGGCUCCUGCUCAUCAAUCCGUUCUUUCCUCAUUGCUGCAUGGAACUGAGAAUCCAUCACCAACUACAGAUGAAACGCCAAAGAGGAACCGUGGAAGAGGCGGACAGCGUUCCCGUUUGUUUCUAGCACGGUUUCUAUUCUCCCCAGCAUCUCCGAACUCCUAAUCGUUGCCGUCUGGGAUGUGAGUAGACUGAGUUUUCCCAGUGCCUUCCCAUCUACCUGUCCUUUUUGUUUGUUGUUGUUGUUGAAAAUUUUACUGAGACAAUUGCAGUUUUGCAAUGGCUUCUAAGAAGGGAUGUGGAAUGUU
rnacentral:sRNA from 1 species